GACGAACGCUGGCGGCGUGCCUAAUACAUGCAAGUCGAGCGCAGGAAACUGACGGAACUCUUCGGAGGGAAGGCAGUGGAAUGAGCGGCGGACGGGUGAGUAACACGUAAGGAACCUGCCUCAAGGAUUGGGAUAACUCCGAGAAAUCGGAGCUAAUACCGGAUAGUUCAACGGACCGCAUGGUCCGCUGAUGAAAGGCGCUUCGGCGUCACCUUGAGAUGGCCUUGCGGUGCAUUAGCUAGUUGGUGGGGUAACGGCCCACCAAGGCGACGAUGCAUAGCCGACCGGAGAGGGUGAUCGGCCACACUGGGACUGAGACACGGCCCAGACUCCUACGGGAGGCAGCAGUAGGGAAUCUUCCACAAUGGACGAAAGUCUGAUGGAGCAACGCCGCGUGAGUGAUGAAGGUUUUCGGAUCGUAAAACUCUGUUGUAAGGGAAAAACACGUACGAGAGGAAAUGCUCGUACCUUGACGGUACCUUACGAGAAAGCCACGGCUAACUUCGUGCCAGCCGCCGCAGUAACAC
rnacentral:rRNA from 1 species